rnacentral:rRNA from 1 species
GGACCAUCAUGUCGGUCGUGCCUCGGUACGUACUGGCAUUAUUGAUUUCUCCCUUCUGAAGAACCACGAUGUCAUUAAUUUGGUGUCGUGGGGAAUCAGGACUGUUACUUUGAAAAAAUUAGAGUGUUUAAAGCAGGCUAACGCCUGAAUACAUUAGCAUGGAAUAAUGAAAUAGGACGUUCGAUCCUAUUUUGUUGGUUUCUAGGAUCGACGUA